UACAGAGGGGGCGAGCGUUGUUCGGAAUUACUGGGCGUAAAGGGCGCGUAGGCGGCCCGCUAAGUCGAACGUGAAAUCCCCAGGCUCAACCUGGGAACUGCGUCCGAUACUGGCAGGCUUGAAUCCGGGAGAGGGAUGUGGAAUUCCAGGUGUAGCGGUGAAAUGCGUAGAUAUCUGGAGGAACACCGGUGGCGAAGGCGGCUCACUGGCCCGGUACUGACGCUGAGGUGCGAAAGCGUGGGGAGCAAACAGG
rnacentral:rRNA from 1 species